rnacentral:tRNA from 1 species
GGUUCCAUGGUGUAAUGGUUAGCACUCUGGACUCUGAAUUCAACGAUCCGAGUUCAAAUCUCAGCAGGACCU